rnacentral:rRNA from 1 species
UACGUAGGGUGCAAGCGUUAUCCGGAAUUAUUGGGCGUAAAGAGCUCGUAGGCGGUUUGUCGCGUCUGCUGUGAAAACCCGAGGCUCAACCUCGGGCCUGCAGUGGGUACGGGCAGACUAGAGUGCGGUAGGGGAGAUUGGAAUUCCUGGUGUAGCGGUGGAAUGCGCAGAUAUCAGGAGGAACACCGGUGGCGAAGGCGGGUCUCUGGGCCGAUACUGACGCUGAGGAGCGAAAGCGUGGGGAGCGAACAGG